GGAUUAGGCAUGCAAGUCGAACGGUAUGGUGCUUUCGGGCAUCAGAGAGUGGCGAACGGGUGAGUAACACGUAGGUGAUCUACCCUCAAGACGGGGACAACCCAGGGAAACUUGGGCUAAUACCGGAUGAUAGCAGCAGUGAUGUUGUUUAAAAGAUGGCUUUCGGGCUGUCGUUUGGGGAUGAGCCUGCGUCCUAUUAGUUAGUUGGUGUGGUAAUGGCAUACCAAGGCGAUGAUAGGUAGGCGGCCUUAACGGGUGGUCGCCCACACUGGGAUUGAGAUACGGCCCAGACUCCUACGGGAGGCAGCAGUCGAGAAUAGUCUACAAUGGUCGGAAGACUGAUAGUGCGACGCCGCGUGAACGAGGAAGCCCUUCGGGGUGUAAAGUUCUUUUAUAUGUGAGCAAUGCUUUUUAUGUGAAUAGCAUGAGAAGAGAGAUAUUAGCAUAUGAAUAAGCAACGGCUAACUCCGUACCAGCAGCCGCGGUAAUA
rnacentral:rRNA from 1 species